ACGAGCAAAUGUUGCAGCUUGUGCGUCUGCAUUAACCAUUGCCUGGGUAUCGAUUAAGUGCUGCCUUUCACAAUGGUACCCACUGAACGCAAUCAGUAUUUUUUUAACAAAUUCUGCAUUUCAUUUCGUUGCAACUCGCCAUUCCACCGAGCAAAAAAAAAAGGGUAGUCAUCAAAGUUCAUCACCGAUGGGCUACAGUGGUCAACUAACGCGCACACCUUCAUUGGCAUAUUGUAGCGAUGCCUUUCCUAAUGCUAAUACCUUUUCGUUCCAGGCCAGUGGUCACAACAACGGUCCGCACACAUUAUGAACCGGACCAGGCGGCCCUUAGCUGUGGAUUAUAACACUAGCAUAGAAUCGAGCAUAAUGCAUUGCUACAAAAUACCGGCCCUGUUAAUUAAGGCCUUGGGCAAGCAGGUUUAUGGCUGCAAGCACAAUGUAACAGUGUCUGGAUUACUUUGCCAGUGCACCUGUCUUAAAUGCUGAAACAGUAACAAGAUACUAACACCUGCAGAGCUAACAGGUAUGUCUUGCAUGUUAGCUCUAAAAAAGCAUUGAUAACUAAAGCCAAAAAAAAAACCA